rnacentral:lncRNA from 1 species
AAUUAAUUAUGCAUAUUUAUCUAACUUGUACAAAAGACCGUAUUAUUAUUUAUUCAAGCUUCACAUCUAUGAUAGGAAAUAGGGUAAGGGGUCCUUACUUGGUUCGAUGCAGAAAACUAGAUUGUUACUGCGUUUACGGACAGUUCCUGGGUUCCCUGAAUUUUUUUUCGGGAACUGAAACGCGCUUACGGUACCUAUACAUGUCCCAAAUUACCCAAAAAUUAG